GCGGUGCAUGCCGCACCCGACCGCUUCCUCCUCAGAUUCAGGCCCCCCAGUUAGCACUCAGAACAGCGCGUGAGAGCCCAUCGCGGGAGGCCCACUCCCCACCAGGCACCUGGCCCAGGCCAAGCACGCAGGGAGAAUUCUGGGAACAACUGAAGAAUGGAGGGUGAAGGGUCCUGGGCCUGUCUGAGGACAUCCGGGCCUCAUGUGAGGAGACGGGCACACGUAAGGAGACCUUUGGGGGUUUGAGGCCAUCCAGCCCACAUGUGAGGAGACAGGCACACCUGAGGAGACCUGGGGAGGUCUGAGGACAUCCAGCCCGCAUGUGAGGAGAUGGAGACACGUGAGGAGACCUGGGGGACCAUCUGAUGAGACCUGGGGGGCAUGUGAGGUGAGCUGGGGCACGUGUGAGGGGACCUGGGGUGCGUGUGAGUAGACCUGGGGGGCAUGUGAGGUGACUUGUGGGACUUGUAGGGUGACCUGGGCUGUGUGAGGUGACCCGGGGUGCAUGUGAGUAGACCUGGGGGGCAUGUGAGGUGAGCUGGGGCACGUGUGAGGGGACCUGGGGUGCGUGUGAGUAGACCUGGGGGCAUGUGAGGUGACUUGUGGGACUUGUAGGGUGACCUGGGCUGUGUGAGGUGACCCGGGGUGCAUGUGAGUAGACCUGGGGGGCAUGUGAGGUGAGCUGGGGCACGUGUGAGGGGACCUGGGGUACGUGUGAGUAGACCUGGGGGGCAUGUGAGGUGACCGUGAGCUGGGGCACGUGUGAGGGGACCUGGGGUGCGUGUGAGUAGACCUGGGGGGCAUGUGAGGUGACUUGUGGGACUUGUAGGGUGACCUGGGCCGUGUGAGGUGACCCGGGGAUGUGUGAGGUGGCCUCAGGCAUGUGCAAGAUGACCUGGGGUGACCUGAGGCAGUGGGAGCAGGAUCCCCCGGACUCUGGGGCU
rnacentral:lncRNA from 1 species